AAUGGCAGCCACGACUCUGAACGUGGACAGUGUUAUAGAACCUUUAGAGGACUCUUUAUCAAAACUUGGAUUAGAAGUUUACCCUCUCAAGGUUGGUUGGUACAACUCGUUGCUGCCUGCUUCAUUCCACCUGAGUUAUCCAGAUGACAGCCUGGCUGUGGUGGUGCUCAGCACUCCUGCUAUGUUUGAACUGGCCUUCCUGCCAUUCAUCGAGGAGCAGCGCUUCCAGGGACUGAGGGACCCCAUAGACCAGUGUGUCCAACACUGUGUCUCCGGUGCUGUCUCACAGUGUUUUCCUGGACAGAAGGUGGAUGUGAGGUAUGACUACGAGCUGCUGCCCAGCAGGAAGCCAAAAUUCCUGGCACAGACUGCGGCUCAUGUGUCUGGAGCAGCUUUCUACUAUCAGCAGUCCGACGUCACGGAUCAACCCUGGGCUGACAGAAAAAUGUUUGGGGUGUGCGUGCAUCCAAGGUUCGGGGGCUGGUUUGCCAUCCGAGCUCUGCUGGUGUUUGAAGAUGUGACGCUGGGCCCAGAGACGGUGCAGCCGCUUCCUCCUGACUGUGUACCGACCCGAGGCGGCAGGAUACAACUGCUGGAGGCUUUCAACUUUCGCUGGCAGGACUGGGGUUACAGGGACGUCGUCUGUCCAGUCCAGACGUACUCACAGAAACAGAGGGACUAUUUCUCCACUCCUCCUGCUCAGCGCUUUGCUCUGCUCAGGACAUGGGGUUUCCUGCCCAGGGAAGAACAUCAGCCUGAAACCAACACAGAUGCACAGAGUGAGGUUCAGCUGUAGAAACAUGGCAGUGCAAGAUGGUGGCCACCUCCUCAUCUACAGUGACAUCUACUGAUGAGACGGAGGACAAACAGAGGUCUCCAUCCAAGCUCGUCACACCGGGGAACUUCAAUGGCCUUCAAAAACCAGAAUGGCGUCACCUUAUGUGUAUGCUGCGUCCUUCAUCUGCAAACUUCAUCUGCUCUGUCAAGCAAUACUAUCAGACCUGACUGAGGGACUGUUGUGUGUAGGGAGGCAAGGAGAGGAAGCAUCCAUCCAUCUUCUACCACUUGGGGUACACCCUGGACAGGUCGCCAGGGCCACAUACAGAGACAAACAACCAUUCACCUUCACACCCACACCUACAGUACUCUCAAUUUAGAGUGUCCAAUUUGUCUAAUUCCCAUAUUGCAUGUUUUUGGACUGUGGGAGAAAACCGGAGAACAUGCAAACUUCAUGCAGAAAGGCGAGAGGAAGCAAAUGCAUCAUUAAACUGCCUAAUGAUUGUGUUUUCUGAGAAGUAGAACCUUGUAGAACUUUAAGUGGAUAGUGUUUUCAGUCGCAUGGCAACCAGGGACGUGUGGUCAUGGGAGGCAGAUGUGUGUGUCAUGUUUACAGUGAGAAGGCACAAGGUGAGGCAGACAUUACCUUGCCGCACUGAAGGGGGCACAUGUGAGCCAAAACUCUCUCGCCGCUAUAAAUGUAAUGUUCUUUAUAGCCAAAUAUGUACCUUACUUAUAUGUGUGUAAAGAAUGUGGAUGAGCUAUGAAACAAUCGUGAAUCGUGAAUUCAUAAAUCAGACUCUGAAUGAGUCACAGCCUCUGCAGCCAUGAACCUCACUGCACGUCACUGAUGACAACCUGCUUACAGCGACCUACCCACCGCCAUACUGACAAACACAGAGUGAGUCGUGUGGCGCUGAUACACUUCAUCAGCCCGGUGUUCCAAUAUAACGUAUACAUUAAAAACCCUGUAUUUGUAUCCCUGUAUUUCUGAAUAUGUGUGUCUUGAUUUCAUCCAUCCAUCGCAGGGACGAGGUCGUGUUAUGAGGGGUGCUUUGCUGGUGAUGGGGGGGUCCUCGGGGGCGGUCCUUUGGUAAUGAGCUGUUAGUCUCUGAGGAAGACGAGCUCUAUUACAGGAACACUGAGCUGCUAUUCUGAGCUUUAAUCUGAGGCUGGUUCACCUUCUCAUGCCGCUCAGCACAGAUUCAUGCUCUCCCUUUGACAACCUGCUGAAUGAAGGGAAGUCAAGAUCUUUGGAUCUGGUUUAAAGCUACAGUGCGUAACUUCUGGUGACUUUGUUGUUGUUGUUGUUAUUCUGCCUGUUUUUUGUGCACAGAGGUGAUGUAACACUAUUUGGAUGCUGCGUCCUACAUUUCAGAUGAAGGUCAUACAAUACUGUCAGAACUUGAACUGAGGGAGCAUUUUGUGUAUGCAGCGCAGGGGCCGACAGGAACAAGGAGGUUUUAUCCUGUCAAUGUGUUGAGCAACCUGGUUUUUUUUAGCAGUAGAAUUCAAUUCUCCAACCUGUUUGCAACCGUCUCACUUUACUAGAGCAAUGUAGAUGUCACUUUUUUGCUUAUUUUAACCAUAAAAGGGCCCAAAAGUGUCCUGUGAGUAAGUGCUUUUGCCCAUUUUUCCAUAAUAACUUUCAAUAUCUGGCAGUUAUUUACAAUUUACUGCAUGCUAAAAUGGUGUAUUAACAAUUUAAAAUGAGGAAAAACAAAAAUUAAAAUAAAUGUG